GACGAACGCUGGCGGCGUGCUUAACACAUGCAAGUCGAACGGAAAGGCCCUGCUUGCAGGGUACUCGAGUGGCGAACGGGUGAGUAACAUGUGGGUGAUCUGCCCUGCACUUCGGGAUAAGCCUGGGAAACUGGGUCUAAUACCGGAUAGGAGCCAUUUUUAGUGUGAUGGUUGGAAAGUUUUUUCGGUGUAGGAUGAGCUCGCGGCCUAUCAGCUUGUUGGUGGGGUAAUGGCCUACCAAGGCGGCGACGGGUAGCCGGCCUGAGAGGGUGGACGGCCACAUUGGGACUGAGAGACGGCCCAGACUCCGACGGGAGGCAGCAGUGGGGAAUAUUGCACAAUGGGCGCAAGCCUGAUGCAGCGACGCCGCGGGGGGGAUGACGGCCUUCGGGUUGUAAACUCCUUUCGCUAGGGACGAAGCUUUUUGUGACGGUACCUAGAGAAGAAGCACCGGCUAACUACGUG
rnacentral:rRNA from 1 species